GAUGAACGCUGGCGGCGUGCCUAAUACAUGCAAGUCGAGCGAACGGACGAGAAGCUUGCUUCUCUGAUGUUAGCGGCGGACGGGUGAGUAACACGUGGAUAACCUACCUAUAAGACUGGGAUAACUUCGGGAAACCGGAGCUAAUACCGGAUAAUAUUUUGAACCGCAUGGUUCAAAAGUGAAAGACGGUCUUGCUGUCACUUAUAGAUGGAUCCGCGCUGGAUUAGCUAGUUGGUAAGGUAACGGCUUACCAAGGCGACGAUGCGUAGCUGACCUGAGAGGGUGAUCGGCCACACUGGAACUGAGACACGGUCCAGACUCCUACGGGAGGCAGCAGUAGGGAAUAUUCCGCAAUGGGCGAAAGCCUGACGGAGCAACGCCGCGUGAGUGAUGAAGGUCUUCGGAUCGUAAAGCUCUGUUAUUAGGGAAGAACAUAUGUGUAAGUAACUGUGCACAUCUUGACGGUACCUAAUGAGAAAGCCACGGCUAACUACGUG
rnacentral:rRNA from 1 species